CCCCACACAUGCAGUACACAUACACAGACACAGAGAGAUGCAUGACCGCCACAUUUGAACUUACACCUGAACAGAAAUAUGCAUGCAAAGACACAACGGCCCACAGUAGAUACAAGUGUGUGCACACAAACACACACCUGUGGUUUCAGGCCAGCACACAGAGAACUCUUUAGUCUCUGAGCUGUCUGUCCCAAUUAAAUUGAGCACUGCUUGUGAAGAGGAACAGACAGAUAGAGAAAACACACACAUGCACACAUACUGUACUGUGAUGCAUACACUGCUGGAGCAGAAGAACUGACUAAGCUGAAUUCCCCCGGCUCCCCUUUCCUAUUUUCCAUGUGCCUCAGCUUAGGAGAACCUGCAUGGGGAAAAAUAAUGCCCACCAUACACACACCACACUUAACUUUCUCCUGACACUCCUUUGAACACAGACGCCCACAUAUACACACUGCUAAUCCGCUCUGUCAAUCGAUACUGCUGCCCUCUGCUUUUUAUUUACCGGUUGUCUUCUUUCCAUGCAGCCUUUCGCUAUUGUGGAUCCACAUGCUUUCCUCAACUUCAGCCUUAUCUCUUCUUCACACCCAAUGUCAUUUAGCUCUCCUCCAGCUUCUCUCCAUCCAGUUGUUUUUUAUGUGGUGCUGUGUGGUUGACCAACAGCCAGGGAGAGACAAGUGCAGGAGCGUAGGCCAAACAUGCCUGCCUCUCCGCCCAAAUUACAUGGGACAGUCCCAAUUACCCUGUGGCCUACCAAAGCAUUUCCUGGGUUAGCGCAAGUGACGCGUGCUCCCCCCUUUGCUGUGGUUACAGGGGGUGUCAUUAGACGCUUGUUUUACUGCAACCCCAAGAACGUGCCCGCCGGCCGCAUCCACGCCACGGGAAGUGCUGCUGCAACAUUCCAAUAACUUCUCCAGGCCUGAUGGAUGACAAAUGAGAGAAGGUUAGGGGGUAACUGUGGAGCAUGUAGUAAAUUUCUGCUGGCCAAGUGGGAGAUGAAAUGGGAACAUUGCAGGGAAAUUAAGAAAUUCUAGACAAGCUGCUGUGUCUUCUGGGAAGUGAAUCAGGGUGGACUAUAAUGUUUUGUGGAAUUCAAAGAGACAUUCUUGGUUAUCCAGUACUAUAAGAGGUGUAUCAUAUAGAUGUAGGCAAUACAAUUUACAUUUUGUGAGAGGUCUGACCCUGACAGCAAUGCUGAACCCUGAAAGAUUGGUCUACAUAGAUUGCAAUAAAUAGUAAUAAUAAUAAUAAUAGCCAGUAUAAAACUGUAAGAGAUACAAGUAAUGAAACUGAGGACAGAUGACUGUGGAAAUGCAGAGGGUUGUGCAACUGGAAGGUCAGUAAUUUGAUCUCUGCCUCCUCAGGUCUAUAUGUCAAUAGAUGUUUUGUAAAGGUAAUGUCUGGAGGUUUGGUUCUAAAAUCCAAUAGUUGCCCUGACAUACAAACAUUAGUUUACUUGCUCUUUGUCCCUCAAUAUGUACUUAUGACUUGUGUUUAUGAAGUGACAGUUACUUGCAUGGUGAAAAACCCAAAAUACUUAAUGUUUAGAGUGAAGAUUACUUUAUUUAGAGUUAAGUGCACUUGCAAUAAUAUGUUUUUACACAGUCUCACUCCCACUGCGCAGUCGAAGAAGUGCGCAUGCGCAGUAACGACAUUCAUUCAGUCUCUCCCGCUCAGCAACACACAAGUCCACCAGCACACAGGCCGGGGCCACUGAGGCCUGCCUUCUAACUCGAGUCGACGUCUUUUGAAGAAUAAUAAGAAAACAGAUGAGACGCCAAUGCGCACCAUUGUACUCCGAGGCCUCCCUGUUCUACUUGGUGAUGACCCCAGUGACUUCUACAACACCUUCUUCUGGAGAGAGACAGUAAAUCCAGGGGGGGAGAGAGGGGAUGAUGACAUGCAGCAAAUGGUCCAGGACGCAUUCAAACCCGGGGUUGUCGUGGUAAGGACACAGCCUCAAUAUGUGAUACAUGUCCAACUGGCUACCAGCUGUUAACAUCGCAACUAAACCCAAAUCAUGGCAGUGAAUAUUUUGUUUACUUUUACAACUGCCACUGACUUCUCUCCAUUGCCAUUGCUCACACUGAGCUAAGCUGCAAUGUUAAGAGCUGAAAGCCAGCUACUGGACGAACAGACACAAAAAAACAAUUAAAGACAAAAUAACUAUUCAUAUGAGGUACUAUGUGUAAAUGAAUGACGUUUUACACACACAUACAGUGUUUCAGUGUCAGUUAAUUAAAAUAUUUUAAAUGCAUCCUCCAUGACCGUAGCACAGACUCCGUGUCUGAUCACCCAGCCCUAGAGACAGGGUUAACUCCCAAAUCGCCGGAGUAUUCCUUUAAUGCACAAGGCUGGAAGGCAGCCUCGGCAGGACAGAUGAAAUGGUGACAUUUUCUAAUUGACAAUUUACAACAUUUCUCUGUUGUAAUGUAAUGUUUUUGUUUGGUUUCAUCACAGGAUUGUGACACUGAUGAGACCUGGGCAGAAGUAUCCGUUGGGGUGAUGACUGCGACUCACUCCAAAUCAGCCCCAUCUUCACCCAGUGUCUACUGCCAUCAUUGUUGAGGGAGGUAUUGUAAUGGAUAAUCUCCAGAACCUACCCGAGGCACUUUGCCUCUUGUUUGGACUGUCAUAUGCGUUACAUCAUGUUGUAUGAUCAAUAUCAUAGCGUUAACUCCCUGAUAUUACAGUAUUAAAGUGUUUUUAUGUCAUUAAAGGCAGUCUUUGAAAAAAUAAAAAACAAUUAAUAUAAUUGAACAUUUAACUGUGUGAUGAUCUUGGUUUAUUAUGUUUAAUUGUUAUUCAGAUUAUUUUAGGAGAUUGGAACCUGUUUUUCAUUCUUUUUAGAUAUUUGAGACACUUAGAUUGCUGAAGUAACUUGUUUUUUAAGGGCAAUCGGUUUGCAUGGUUUUAGCAAGUAUGUCAGAUUGAUAUUCAAGUAAAUAUAACUUAAAAAUGCUAAGUUAGUCCAACAUGGAUAAGUGUGUUAUAUGGACUAAACACGAGUUAAUUUCACAUGCAAUGAUUUAGUAGAUUAAAAUAGUAAUUCUGAGCAGUCUUUACUAAGUCGAAAGUACAUCUAAAAUAAGUUAUCAAGUGCACACUACUUGAUUGUUUUAGUUGCUUAAACUCAUUAAUAAGGGUACUCUAUGAAGAAAACGCUAGUUUAACUUAAAAUACCUAGUUCUCUUCACUUGUUUUUGUAAGUGCAACCAGUUUGCAUGCUUUUCUUAAGUAAUGAUAACUAAUUGGAUUUUACAGUGUGGAGUUUGAUCUCUCUCUCUCUCUCUCUCUCUCCUCUCUCUCUC